GAUAGUAGCAAGAUGGAGAGCGAAGGAGGAUUAGAAGAGAGGCCGGCCUGUCGGUUCUUCCUCCGGUUGUACUUCGUCAUGAUCAAGCUCUAAUCAAGCUUACUCAUGGGAUGACUCUGGUAAUCUACUUCUAAUUCAUUAUGCAAUUACUUCGUCAUGUAUGUUCUAGUUCACAACUCUUUUGAGUACUUCUAAUCUAUAGAACGCUAUAGAUUAGAGUUGUAGUAUAGGUGUAAGGGUGGUGCUUAGACCUAGAUUACUUGUGGAUAUCCCCUGUCUAGCUGGAUCGUGUGGCAGGCCGCGUAGGUGACAGUUACGUUGGUCCUCUGUAGUCCACCUCUCGUUAUCAGGACGGGUAGGGUUUAUCGGCCUAUGGAUAAGCAUCCUUUGUGGUGUAAUCUUAUCACGUGGUUCGUCCCAGACAUAGACAUACCCCUUUGAAGUAGAGAAACCAUAGUUAUCCUCUCUAUUCUGCUACCAUCGCCCAUAUACUAGAAUUGCUCUAUUCUCUAUUCCCAUAUUAUCACUCACUGUUAUCUUACCUUUAAUACUGUUCUUAUUUGAUUCUACCAUCUUUCCUAUUUACACCUAUUUACUUAUCUUGGUUAAGUUAGAGCGUAGAUCAGUUCUCCUGUUUCCCUGUGGAUACGAUAAAACCUUUAACCGGGUAAAAGCUUCAACGGUAUCCGUGCGCUUGCGGAUUAUCUGUGUGCGUAUAAAUACCAUAGUACACUCUAGUGCCAUGCUGGGGAUGACAACCUAGUAUUCAAGUGGUGUUAGCAAGUGUCAACACACACAUCUACUACACCAUCUAUCACCAUUCAUUAAAAUUGCUAAAAAUAGUAUCACUCACUGUCCCAAGUAUUGUUAUUCUCUCUCUCUCUAAAAAGAUUCAAUGUAGAAGAGGCAUGGGUUAUGCAAAAAAUAUGCGAGGAAAUAAAAAGGGGCAAGUGCCCGGAACCUCAGAAAAAGAAAGAAAAAAAGAGUGAGACGAGAGGUAAAAAUGGACAAGUGUCCGAAGUAUAAUUAGGGGUACAAAGAUGCCCACGUGAGCGGAAUAAAUGGACAAGUGUCCGACAGUAGAAUUAGGGGUAUCUACUACCCACCUGAAAAAAAAGAAGAGAAAAGAAAAAGAUAGCCCAUGUUCUCCUAAAGCAAAGAUCAAAGAGGAGGAGAGAUAGCAAUAUAAGGAGCAAUGAGAACUAAGUUUUAUUAUCACUUAUACAUUUUUACUAUCACUAUCAUUUACUCCAUCACACAUGCACAUCUUGAUUUAAUUAUAUGCUGAGUUCUUUUGGAUCCAUGGCUCGAUUAGACA
rnacentral:lncRNA from 1 species